UGCCAGCAUCCGCGGUACCACUAACCUGACAAACGUUAUUCGGAAUUAUUGGGCUUAAAGGGUGCGUAGGCGGCGAUGUAGGUGGGGUGUGAAAUCCCUCGGCUCAACCGAGGAACUGCGCUCCAAACCACAUGGCUAGAGGGAGACAGAGGUAAGCGGAACUGAUGGUGGAGCGGUGAAAUGCGUUGAUAUCAUCAGGAACACCAGUGGCGAAAGCGGCUUACUGGGUCUCUUCUGACGCUGAGACACGAAAGCUAGGGUAGCGAACGGGAUUAGAUA
rnacentral:rRNA from 1 species